rnacentral:rRNA from 1 species
CUGCUCAGUAACACGUGGACAACCUACCCUCAGGACAGGUAUAAACCCGGGAAACUGGGUAUAAUCCCUGAUAGUCCUCGACUGCUGGAAUGCAUCGAGGCCGAAAGCUCCGGCGCCUGAGGAUGGGUCUGCGGCCUAUCAGGUAGUAGUGGGUCUAAAGUACCUACUAGCCUACGACGGGUACGGGUUGUGAGAGCAAGAGCCCGGAGAUGGAUUCUGAGACACGAAUCCAGGCCCUACGGGGUGCAGCAGGCGCGAAAACUUUACAAUGCCGGCAACGGCGAUAAGGGGACCUCGAGUGCCAGGUUACAAAUCUGGCUGUCGUGAUGCCUAAAAAGCAUUGCAUAGCAAGGGCCGGGCAAGACCGGUGCCAGCCGCCGCGGUAACACCGGCGGCUCGAGUGGUAACCGUUAUUAUUGGGUCUAAAGGGUCUGUAGCCGGCCGGAUAAGUCUCUUGGGAAAUCCAGCAGCUCAACUGUUGGGCUUCCAGGAGAUACUGUCUGGCUCGAGGCCGGGAGAGGUGAGAGGUACUUCAGGGGUAGGGGUGAAAUCUUGUAAUCCUUGAAGGACCACCAGUGGCGAAGGCGUCUCACCAGAACGGACCUGACGGCAAGGGACGAAAGCUAGGGGCACGAACCGGAUUAGAUACCCGGGUAGUCCUAGCC